rnacentral:rRNA from 1 species
UACGUAGGGUGCAAGCGUUUAAUCGGAAUUACUGGGCGUAAAGCGCACGUAGGCGGCUUUGUAAGUUAGAGGUGAAAGCCCGGGGCUCAACUCCGGAAUUGCCUUUAAGACUGCAUCGCUAGAAUCGUGGAGAGGUAAGUGGAAUUCCGAGUGUAGAGGUGAAAUUCGUAGAUAUUCGGAAGAAACACCAGUGGCGAAGGCGACUUACUGGACACGUAUUGACGCUGAGGUGCGAAAGCGUGGGAGCA